CUGCGGAUGCUAACGCAA
rnacentral:snRNA from 1 species